rnacentral:rRNA from 1 species
UACGUAGGGGCUAGCGUUGUCCGGAAUCAUUGGGCGUAAAGAGCGUGUAGGCGGCCCGGUAAGUCCGCUGUAAAAGUCAAAGGCUCAACCUUUGAAUGUCAGUGGAUACUGCCGGGCUAGAGUCCGGAAGAGGCGAGUGGAACUCCUGGUGUAGCGGUGAAAUGCGCAGAUAUCAGGAGGAACACCGGUGGCGAAGGCGGUUCUCUGGGCCUGUUCUGACGCUGAGGAGCGAAAAGCGUGGGGGAGCGAACAGG